GUUUUAUUUAAUUAAUUAUUUUAAUUUUUAGGUAAUUUUAUUAAUUUAAAUUUUUAAUUUAAUUUUAUUGGGGUGAUGUAAAAAUUUAAUAAACUUUUUAAUUAUUAUUUCAUUUGUUUAUGUUAUUUGAUCCAUAUUUUAUGAUUAUUAGAUUAAAU
rnacentral:rRNA from 1 species